GACGAACGCUGGCGGCGUGCUUAACACAUGCAAGUCGAACGAAGUGGCGAACGGGUGAGUAACGCGUAAUCAACCUGCCCUUCAGAGGGGGACAACAGUUGGAAACGACUGCUACUACCUCAUACUGAAGGAGGGGAUUGCGGCUGAUUAGUUAGUUGGAGGGGUAACGGCCCACCAAGGCGAUGAUCAGUAGCCGGUCGGGGAGGAUGGACGGCCAAAUUGGGACUGAGACACGGCCCAGACGCCUACGGGAGGCAGCAGUGGGGAAUCUUCCGAAAUGGACGAAAGUCGGACGGAGCAACGCCGCGUGAGUGAUGACGGCCUUCGGGUUGUAAAGCUAUGUUAAUCGGGACGCGGUACCGGAAUAGAAAGCCACGGCUAACUACGUGCCAGCAGCCGCGGUAAUAC
rnacentral:rRNA from 1 species